AACGAACGUUGGCGGCGUGGAUUAGGCAUGCAAGUCGAACGCGAACGUCGGGCUUCGGCCUGACUAGUAGAGUGGCGAGCGGGUGAGUAACGCGUGGGCAAUCUACCCUCGAGUGGGGAAUAACCAUUCCAACGAGUGGCUAAUUCCGCAUGUGCCCUCUCUGUCGCAUGGCGGAGCGGGCAAAGGUGGGGAUCUUCGGACCUGCCGCUCGAGGAGGAGCCCCGCGUCCCAUAGCUAGUUGGCGGGGUAACGGCCCACCAAGGCGACGAUGGGUAGCCGAUCUGAGAGGAUGACCGGCCACACUGGGACUGAGAUACGGCCCAGACUCCUACGGGAGGCAGCAGUCGAGAGGCUUCGGCAAUGGGGCAACCUGACCGAGCGACGCCGCGUGCGGGAUGAAGGCC
rnacentral:rRNA from 1 species